CCGAAGCACAUGCAAUUUUAAUUUGCUAAAUUUAUUCAGAUUUCUACAACAUAUAAACAAAGAUAUAAAUAUUUAACGAUAAUAAAGAAUUAUAACCAUCACAUAUACGAAUAAUAAUCAUUCACUAAACCAAAAGGAUAGACAAAAAUUAAGGAAACCAAAAUUAUACAUGGAAUCUUUAGAAAAAAAAAACAGACAACAACAAACAAAAAAAAACGAUACAAGAACAACAAUAGCAGCAGAAAAACCAUCAAGAAACAUACAAACAACAAUAACUGGUAAAAAAUAAACAAACAAAACAUAAAUACACAACAACAAACAACUCCGGCUACUAUUAUAUUGGGAAAAUUUCUCAGGCUUUUACACCCUUGAGCCGUAUGCCCAAAAACACCACCCUGCUAUCUAGAUCCCUUGACAGUUCAAUUUACCCGCAACAAAACUCCGGUUCUGCUGGCUAUAGCCGGAGGGAACGGUGUGCGGGUUGUGAAAAGUCCAACGUGGGGAACUCCCACACCCUGGGAUUGAUUUAGAGUCUCAUACUCCACCUAAUUCUAGCCGGGCAUAUAAUUAUCCACUCAAGCAUCUAAUGUUUUCGGAAACUACAAGUUGGAUAUAAUUUAUUAUUGCACCUUAUAUAAAUAAUCAUACUCGGAUUAGGAUAUUUCUUUUAUAUCAAACAGUUUUCGGAGUUCUCAUUUUCUAUCACGUUAAGGAGUUGAUGGACGGAUGUGGAAGUCGUUGGAGUUAGUAUUUGAAUUGUUUUGUGUGGCAAGAAAACAACAUUAAUUUCAUUUUACUGGAUUCAAUUUUAGUGUGACCCCACGUACUUCAACCUCUAUCUAAUUAUCGGUGAGAUUACGAGUGAUUAUCGAUAGUAUUGGAAACUACUAAUCUCGUGAACAUUUCUGUCACGUUAGGCUAUCGUCUACUAACGAUCAAAUAACACUAAUCAUUGAUUCCAUUAUUGAACAAUUUAUUUACGAAUUUGAGAUUUUUGGAAACAAUUAAUUAUACAAUUAGGACUAUUAACAUACUCUAAGCUAUAGCUAUUUAUUUCCAGUGGCUAUAAAAAAAAUAUCUUACUAUAUUUCACGAAUUUCUUUGGGCUAUUGUAAAACUCUAUUAGGCUAUUGCCACAUGUGUUGCUGACAUUACAUGUAUUUUAUCGUACACUUAGGAUACAUUUUGUUCCUUUAAAUAAAAAGUAUCAUAAGUUGUUAAACAUUCCAUUGGGCGCCAUUUCUGUUACGGUUACUUUUGGUUGAUGAGGAUUCCGUCUAGCUCAUCGACUCUCCCAGGUGGUUCCAACCCUCACUCAUCAACAGCGUACCUUAACAAGAAAACAAAAUCAAAGGAAUACAAAAAAAACGGAAACUAAAACUUAAAUUCACCACACACAACAAUUCUCAGAGAUAGGUGUUAGUCUCUCUACUUGCCCUCCCAACCUAGUCGCGAUUUUAUCCACAUAAAUUUCCAAGCGACCCAAACUCCUCUCCCACUUACCUGUCAAUCAACUCCAAUACCUCUAAAUUAUUAAGCCAUCAUCUUUGAAUCCUUAAUCAAAACAUAUUUUUAUUUAAAAUUAAUAAUUUAACUAACAAUAUUAAAUAUUUAAAACUAUAUAA